AGCGAACGCUGGCGGUAGGCCUAACACAUGCAAGUCGAACGGCAGCACCGUAAUUGCUUGCUCUUACGGGUGGCGAGUGGCGGACGGGUCACGUAUACAUCGGACUCUACUUUUUCGUGGGGGAUAACGUAGGGAAACCUACUCUAAUACCGCAUACGCCCUUCGGUUGAAAGCAGGGGAUCUUCGGACCUUGCGCGAUUGAAUGAGCCGAUGUUGGAUUAGCUAGUUGGCGGGUUAAAGACCCACCAAGGCGACGAUCGGUAGCUGGACGGAGAGGAUGGUCAGCCACAUGGGAAGUGAGACAGGGACCAGAGUACUGAGGGAGGCAGCAGUGGGGAAUAGUAGGCAAUGGGGGGAAGCCUGAUCCAGCGAUAGGGCGUGAGAGAAGAAGACGUUCGGGUUGGAAAGCCCGUUUGUUGGGAAAAAAAAGCAGUAGGUUAAUACGCCGCGGUAGUGACGGUACCCGAAGAAGAAGCACCGGCUAACUUCGUG
rnacentral:rRNA from 1 species